GCGUGGGGACCGAGCGUCAUUAUUUCCCUGCAUACUGUACACAUGACACUUAUGUUUUGGUGUGGUCUUAAUGACGGAGACCCUACUAUUGAUGAGAUGCUAGAAAUGCUUGCUGCUGGUGCCGCCUAAUCAGUUCCACAAUUUCAAGUAAAAUCAAGGAAUGAAAUAUCAGCAGUGGCAUGGAGUGCUUGCUUGUUGCGUUGCUGAAUCCUGGAGUCGACUGGAAGAUGGUUUAUUGUUAUUUAAAAUUUUAUUUUCGAAGCUGUUGGAGUGAUGUGUUAAGUUAUUCGUGUCAUGUCAGUUUGUGUAUUAUUCAUGUAC